AGCUUUGCGCAGUGGCAGUAUCGUAGCCAAUGAGGUUUAUCCGAGGCGCGAUUAUUGCUAAUUGAAAAAAAAAAAAAGAAAGAAUGGCUUCCAGGUUUCUGUCAUUGAACUAAGUGAUUGUACCAUUAUUAAGAUGAGAAAGACCAAGGAAAAGUAAAUUUUGGGAAGGAAAAAAUAAAAUUUU
rnacentral:snRNA from 1 species